CAUCUCAGGUGGGAUCUGCUUGUCAUCAGAGAAUGAAACUUUCUUCCACCUUUGAAAGUCCCAUGUUUGGUGCUCUCUUGCAAAGUCCAAACGAGCAGUUCUGUGGUGUUGAAGGAGAUGAGGUCUUUGAAGACGUUUUUUGUUUUUGAAGCCCUUCAGUCUCAGAUGCCGUCUGAUGGUUAUGGGGCUGCAACCCUGCUUAUGCAGUUCAACAACCCGACCACGUUCAAAAAG